rnacentral:tRNA from 1 species
AGAUGAGUCGCACGACUCCAUAAACA